AACGAACGCUGGCGGCAUGCCUAACACAUGCCAGUCGAACGAGACCUUCGGGUCUAGUGGCGCACGGGUGCGUAACGCAUGGGAACCUGCCCUUAGGUUCGGAAUAACCCCCCGAAAGGGGUGCUAAUACCGGAUAAUGUCUUCGGACCAAAGAUUUAUCGCCUUUGGAUGGGCCCGCGUUGGAUUAGCUAGUUGGUAGGGUAAAAGCCUACCAAGGCGACGAUCCAUAGCUGGUCUGAGAGGAUGAUCAGCCACACUGGGACUGAGACACGGCCCAGACUCCUACGGGAGGCAGCAGUGGGGAAUAUUGGACAAUGGGCGAAAGCCUGAUCCAGCAAUGACGCGUGAGUGAUGAAGGCCUUAGGGUUGUAAAGCUCUUUUACCCGGGAUGAUAAUGACAGUACCGGGAGAAUAAGCUCCGGCUAACUCCGUG
rnacentral:rRNA from 1 species